CUCUUCCCUGCUCCGCCCCGAGGGCCCGGCGCUGACUUCCUGGGCUGGCGGUGGAGGGGUCCCCCAGACCGGGAGUGGACGCCAGGCUCUGCAUUUCUCGGGAACCAAGUGGGGUGGGCCUUCCCUGGGUCCCUCCCUCCCGGACGGGAUAAAUAAGCCGGGGCUACUUGGAAACGAUUUGCGCAAUGCCGGGUUCGGGCGUCCGUUUGGGGAACUCAGAUGCCUGCGGCAGCUGAUCUACUCUGUAAGGGGCUAACAGGGCUGGGCGCCACCACACUCCAGCUUGGGCAACAGCGCAAAAACUCCCUCUCAAAAAAAUAAAUAAAUAAAAGGGGGGGAGGGUAUAACAGUUACAUUUCCAGUUACAACGAUUGUUUUUUUUUUUUUUUUUUGAGACGGAGUCUCGCUCUGUCGCCCAGGCGGGACUGCGGACUGCAGUGGCGCAAUCUCGGCUCACUGCAAGCUCCGCUUCCCGGGUUCACGCCAUUCU
rnacentral:lncRNA from 10 species